GACGAACGCUGGCGGCGUGCUUAACACAUGCAAGUCGAACGGAAAGGCCCUGCUUUUGUGGGGUGCUCGAGUGGCGAACGGGUGAGUAACACGUGAGUAACCUGCCCUUGACUUUGGGAUAACUUCAGGAAACUGGGGCUAAUACCGGAUAGGAGCUCCUGCUGCAUGGUGGGGGUUGGAAAGUUUCGGCGGUUGGGGAUGGGCUCGCGGCUUAUCAGCUUGUUGGUGGGGUAGUGGCUUACCAAGGCUUUGACGGGUAGCCGGCCUGAGAGGGUGACCGGCCACAUUGGGACUGAGAGGCGGCACAGACUCAUACGGGAGGCAGCAGUGGGGAAUAUUGCACAAUGGGCGGAAGCGUGAUGCAGCAACGCCGCGUGCGGGAUGACGGCCUUCGGGUUGUAAACCGCUUUCGCCUGUGACGAAGCGUGAGAGACGGUAAUGGGUAAAGAAGCACCGGCUAACUACG
rnacentral:rRNA from 1 species